rnacentral:rRNA from 1 species
UAAUGCCUGGCGGCGGCUUACCAUGCAAGUCGAGCGGAAACGAUGAUAGCUUGCUAUCAGGCGUCGAGCGGCGGACGGGUGAGUAAUACUUAGGAAUCUACCUAGUAGUGGGGGAUAGCUCGGGGAAACUCGAAUUAAUACCGCAUACGACCUACGGGAGAAAGGGGGCAACUUGUUGCUCUCGCUAUUAGAUGAGCCUAAGUCGGAUUAGCUAGAUGGUGGGGUAAAGGCCUACCAUGACGACGAUCUGUAGCUGGUCUGAGAGGAUGAUCAGCCACACCGGGACUGAGACACGGCCCGGACUCCUACGGGAGGCAGCAGUGGGGAAUAUUGGACAAUGGGGGCAACGCCUGAUCCAGCCAUGCCGCGUGUGUGAAGAAGGCCUUUUGGUUGUAAAGCACUUUAAGCAGUGAAGAAGACUCCAUGGUUAAUACCCAUGGACGAUGACAUUAGCUGCAGAAUAAGCACCGGCUAACUCUGUGCCAGCAGCCGCGGUAAU